rnacentral:rRNA from 1 species
UGUAGUGGGGGAUAGCCCGGCGAAGAGCCGGAUUAAUACCGCAGUACGAUCUACGCGAUGAAAGCGGGGGCACCUUCGGGCGCUCGCGCUAGUAGGGCUUGGCCGACUGYGACUAGAUUAGCUAGCUYGGUGGGGUAAAGGCCUACCAAGGCGACGAAUCAGUAGCUGGUCUGAGAGGAACGAACCAGCCACACGUGAGGACUGAGACACGGACCCAGACUCCUACGGGAGGCAGCAUGUGGGGAAUUUUGGACAAUGGGCGAAAGCCUGAUCCAGGCAAUGCCGCGUGUGUGAAGAAGGCCUUCGGGUUGUAAAGCACUUUNGUCCGGAAAGAAAUCCUUGGCUCUAAGUACAGUCGGGGGAUGACGGUACCGGAACGAAUAAGCACCGGCUAACUACGUGCCAGCAGCCGCGGUAAUACGUAGGGUGCGAGCGUUNAUCGGAAUUACUGGGCGUAAAGCGUGCGCAGGCGGUUAUUGCUAAGACCGAUGUGAAAUCCCCGGGCUCAACCUGGGUAACUCGCACUUGGUGACUG